CACUUGUUGCAUUUUGGAGAGAGGUUACUAUACGUAUUAGCUAUUCAUAAAUAGAGAUUACAGAGGUAGUGAACCUAUCCAAGACAUCUUCCUCUUCCUAUUUUUCCUACAACAACAACCCUGUGAAGUCAAUUGGGCUGAAAGAAAAUGACUGGCCCAAAGUCACCCAGCUGGUUUUCAUGACUAAGGUAUUCUAUGACUUUCUAUAUUACAAAGGAACUUCCAAGCAAAGACAUCAAGAAAAAAAGUCUUCCAUGAGAUCUUCCUAUAUCAAGGCUGCAGAAAUAUGGUAGAUGAGUUACAAGAUAAUUGUGACACCUUGUGAUUCUGAAUUCCCAUGAAAUAAUUCUGAAAAUAUUCAGAAACAUUUUGAAAAUAAAAUAAAAAAGAAACAAAACAAAACAAAACAGAAUCACUUUCAUAAAGGAAAAAAAAUUGAGGGUUGAAAGGGAAUUGGAAUCCAGAUUUCAAAUAUUGUACCGUAUUUUUCAGAGUAUAAGACAAACUCCCCCCUCCAAAGAGGCUGAAAAUUUGGGUGUGUCUUAUACUCCGAACCUUUUUUCCAGCCCUAACGAGGCACUAGAGAGUGAAGCGAUCUUCCGCAUGAUGAUCAGUUGUGCUUUAGAAUUUUUUUUCCAGCCCUGACCAGGCGCUAGCGAGUGAAGCGAUCUUCCACGCUUCGCCUGCUUUUCUCAUUGCUUCUCUGUCUGACAAUCAGCUGUGCUUUAGAAGCUGGUUUUUAUCCCCAACCAGGGGAUAAAAAGAGCACGCAACCAGCUAACUAAUGUGCUGAAGCUGACCAGACUAAGGAUGCUAGCCAGAUGACUACCUGGUAGGCAGAUUUUUUUCUCCUAUUUUCCUCCCCAAAAACUAAGGUACAUCUUAUACUCAGGUGCGUCCUAUACUCUGAAAAAUACGGUAAAUCUCAUGUAGCCCAGUAAAUAAUCGGUGUACACAAUGUUUUUUUUUAUAGAGAGUAUUUCCUUUAUUCCAUUCUAUAUAUUUUAUACUGUAGCUUCAGAGAGUUCGCAGUAUCAUUUCUAAUCUGUUGUGACAAUUAUAAUUCCAAUUUUCUGUUGCAGCUGUUGAAGUUGCUUUUGAUGCACACUAAGCUUCCAAAGAAGUUCUAUCUCCAGCUGUAGGUUACUUUCUGAUCGCUAAACUUUUGAGGGUUUCUUUUUUGUAUAAAUAUUAAGAAGAAAACAUCUUUUUAAGAAGGUAUGUUUUUUUCCCCACCUUCUGUAUGCCAAUAUAUUUUUAGUACUACACUGAGCCUUAGAAUGUUCAUUUAACAAUGUAGUGUAGAUAACUAUAUCACAAUACUUUCUUCCAUUAUUUACUAUGUCUUUAAUAUCCUGGGUAUAAUCAUGCUCUACUGAUUAAUAAAGCACUGAUUUGACAGUGCUUUAUGAAGUACUAUUUGAUGUAAGAGAAUGAGGCCUGAUUCAGUAGUAAAAUAAGAAUAACUAGGUGAAUAACUGAAUUUAUGAUAAUUCCAUUUAAAAAUUCUCUUUCCUCUAUAACACUUGAACUUUGAUUUGCUUAAGUAUCUCUUGCCUUUGUGUUGUUUAGCUUAAUUUCAUCAUAUAAAAAGCAGUUUAAAAAAUUGCAAUAUCUAUUCUUACAAAAAUAAUUUCACCUAUUAAUUUGGCACUAGGUAAUUGGGAUUUGUAUAUUAUUAACUCCACUUGAAACAUUAUAUAUUUCUUGAAAUGCUGUUAUUAUAAUAUAUAUAUUUAUUUUACA